GUUUGUGUGUUGCAUCUGAGCACGCUCGUGUCUCAGGUGUUUCAGUCGUGGGUUUUCUCCGGACUGUUUCAGUCCCCAGUGUUUGGGGCAUUUGUUGUGUGUGCGCCCUGUAUCUUAGUGGGGUGGCUUUUGUUCGCCGUUUGUGCAAAUAAAGCACUACCCUGUACUCUCUGCUUCCUGUGCCUGACUUCGCACCCACUACACCCAGAGCCUUACAGCCAGGUCUACUUAGUUUCAUUGUAAGUCAUGGGCCAAUGCUGAACAACAUCUUACUGAGUGUUGUGGUGGGAACAGGCUGUGUUUUAUGAAGAGGACUGCAGAAAGGAAAAUGGACUAGUACUUGACACCAAAUGGAUGUCAGAGUUUUAUCUGCAGUCAUUUCAGCUUUCCAGUACAAGGAUGAGCACCAAAGAUGGAGAUCUUAAUUGUUUUCAGACUGCGGUGAACAAGUCUCUCGCACUCCUCUUUCUCUUCCUCUCUUCUAUCUCUCCUCCACUUGUCUAGGUCCUCCCAUCCCUAUCUUGGCGAGCAUGAGUCAGAGAUGAAUACUCAAAGGUUCAAAGCAAGCGGGAUGACUGCCGUGGAUCCUCUGUCCAAUCGUCAGCCAGUUAGUGGCGGCGGGCAUGACAGAAUGCUGACACCACAAUUUGAAGCAUCAUGGAGUUAUGGGAGCCUGAUGUUUUUUGUUUUGUUGGUGACGUCGGGUCUGGGUGCCGCUAUUGGAGGAGCCAUGGGUGCCUCAGCUGGCUCAUCGAGCUUCCAUGCCUUAGCUGGCUCGAGAGGUUUCCUUGCCUUGGUUGGCUCGGCAGGUUCCCAUCCCACGUCAUGCCUCAGCCGGCUCGUUGGGCUUCAACAACUCAGCCGGCUCAUCAGGCUCCCAUCCCAUGUCAUGUCUCAGCCAGUUCGUCGGGCUCCCACGCCUCAGCCGGCUCAUCAGGCUCCCAUCCUACGUCAUGCCUCAGCCGGCACAUCAGGCUCCCAUGCCUCGGCCGGCCCAUCAGGCUCGCCCAGGUGGGACGCCGGGUGGUGCCCCUAGAGGGGGGGGGUACUGUCAUGCCUGUUCCCGAUUCCCCUCUCUGGUGCUCAAGAGCACCAGGCUGCCCCUCAUUACACACACCCGUCACCAUCAUUACGCGCAUCUGCGCAAUAUUGGACUCACCUGGACUUUGUUGAUUGCCCCUCUAGAUCUGUCUGCUCCUCAGUUUGUUCCCUGUGUCAGCAUUAAUGUCGUUAUGUUUUCUUGUCCA
rnacentral:lncRNA from 1 species